GCGGGAAUAGCUCAGUUGGUAGAGCACGACCUUGCCAAGGUCGGGGUCGCGAAAGAAUUUCGUGUGGUGCG
rnacentral:tRNA from 1 species